rnacentral:rRNA from 1 species
UACGUAGGGGGCAAGCGUUGUCCGGAUUUAUUGGGCGUAAAGAGCGUGUAGGCGGCCAGACAGGUCUGCUGUGAAAACUCGAGGCUCAACCUCGAGACGCCGGUGGAAACCGUUUGGCUAGAGUCCGGAAGAGGAGAGUGGAAUUCCUGGUGUAGCGGUGAAAUGCGCAGAUAUCGGGAGGAACACCAGUAGCGAAGGCGACACUCUGGGCCGGUACUGACGCUGAGGAGCGAAAGCGUGGGGAGCAAACAGG